rnacentral:lncRNA from 1 species
GAAAGUGUAAAUAUAUGAGAUGGUUUGAUGUGUCAUAUUCUAACUGGUGGAGACUGAAUAAACGAAUAAUAUAUGAAGAAUAUCGUAUAGUUCAAGUAAAGAAGAUUUGAAGAUAUCCCAGAUAUGAAAAUUAAAUAUUUUGGAGUAAAAUCUAAUCUAUUAAUUUAUGGUCCUAUUUUUUAUCUUUUUUUUUUAUGCUGAUUUAUUAAGAUAUUACAAUUACGAUAUAAGAAAUAUUACAUAGACGAUUCGACAACCGACAAUACUAUCUGUCUUAUGAAGACAUACGCCUAACUGCAUCACCUGAGCCGUCCUAUGAAGAUCCACGUCUGACCAGAUUUAUUUGCACCAUGUUGAAGAUCCCUUGUAAGCCUUUUUUCUGUAGUCUGCAUAAUUGUUUAAUAAACCGCUCUCUCCGGGACUUGAAACCUGGAUUUCCUGUAAUCUGCAAUAAAUUACAUAGUCUGGGAUUUGAACCCCAGACCUGGAUGUAGAAGCCUUUAAACCUUAACCAAUAGGCUAGGG